rnacentral:lncRNA from 1 species
ACCGUUUGCAGGCGGGGAGGAUUGCAUUGCGUUGCAGCCCAGGCGCACCUCCCUGUCCCCUUGCUCCCACCUACGGCCCCACGCCCCCCGAAUUCCCCGGCGGAGGAGCCGCGAAUGCAAUGGGGGAAAGGGACCGGGACGGCGCGCAGAACCCGGCUGGAUUUUAGACGCGCACAACUUUUGCAACUGCAGAGCCGCUUGGCUCUUUCUGCUCCCGGCUGUUCGUGAAUUACUUACAAAGCGCCUAGACUUCUCUGAAGGGUGAACGACUCGUUCCCUCUCGCACUGUCCGCCCUCAGUCUCUUUCUCCACCGCCGCCCGGCACGCUCUACUGAUCUAAAAUCAGAGCAAUUAGAGUAAUGAAUUCUCUGGAACAGCAACUCCUACAGACACUCAGCUCUGCCCUCGCAUCAGCGCCUCCCAGCCCUCAUUCCCAGCAACCAGGCAAGAGCAUGUAGACCCUUUAAAAACCUAUGUCAACUUCAGUGUUAACCGCGUCUGGAUCCUGCGGCUUUACAGCUUAGUCCGUGUGUACGUGUGUCUGGCUGUCGGUGUGUGUGUGUCUCUGUGUGUGUGUCAAUUGAGUAAGUGCAUGUAACUCUGAUUACUUGGGCGUCCUAACGAAGCUUUGCUCUUAAAGGACACAGUAUAUUUAGGAGUCUUCCUUACACGGAGUUUGAAAUUCCUGUGUGUGUGUGUAAUGUUUAUUUCCUCAAGCGACCAAAUGCGUCCUUCGUGCAGUUGGUUGAAACCUCCAAAAGGCCUCCUAGAGUCGCCAAACUACUUGCACAGUCUAGCUCGUAUUCAGGGCGGCACGGACUGGUGGAUUUGUGUGCGUAGGGGAGGUGAAACUUGACAAUUCAAGGAAAGGGUCUGCGCCGGCACCCACCUCCUAGCCUCAUUCCCUCACUUGGCCCCUAGGAGGUGCUGGUGAAAUAUGCUAGGUUUUGCAGAUGCGUACUUAACCCUGCUUUAGCAAGGGUGCCGCCUGUCCUGGCGCUGAGCGAGAGACUGAAAUUAAGAGUGUGAAAUAAGUUGUGCGUGCGGCGUAUCUGCGCUGAGAGCCAAACGUCUUGCUGUUCCGUCCCACUUGCUGAGAUUGUACAGUACUCCAAACCCUGUGACCGUCUUGCCUUGUAUGCGGGAAUAAUACCUCACCCAGGGUGGGGGUGGGGUGGGUGGCGGUAGGGGUGUGUGUGUCCACUUUAAUAUUUAUUAAGUAAUGUAUUACUUUGGAACAGCUUGCAUUAACUCUGCCAAAUAGAUGGAUGUGUAGAAACCCAGGCUGCAGCGCAAAGCUAAAAACGUGGAGAUAGACAAGCUAACUCUGUGUAGCCAGAGGAAGGACAAUGAGUGACAUCUCACCCCACCACAAUAAGCUGCUUCUGAAAUAUGUUUCUUCAUGGAUUUCUUCUAAGAAACAGUUGGGAGAGGUCCAAUCAACCCCUUAAAACAUAUUAAGACUAAAAGGAAAGAGGAAAUUAAUCAUUUAUGUGUAUGUCCUUUAUUAUGAUUCAGUCUGUGCAUCUGUAGAUAGCUAAGAAUUUUCCAGCCCAUGUGAAUUCGGAGAGGCAGCAUUUUUAUUUCCAGGUAAUGAGCUCUUUUUGAAAGUCAGUCACCCAGAAAGGGGUGCCAUUUUCCUGGCAUGUGGAUUGAAAUUGUUUUAUUUUAAUACUCUAACUGAAUAAACAAUAUAAUCAUAGGCCAAGAUAGUUUCAUAUAAUAGAAGAAUCUUUAAAGAAAUGAACACGAAGUUAUAAGAUUAUGGUUGUUGUGUAAAUUUUGUCAUGGAGGGGGAAAAUAAAUAGACGUACCUUAAUCUUUCUCAUCAGCAUCACUCUUACCCACCAUGGGCUGAUAUGCAGCAAGGCUUAUUUCUUGAAGUUAAAGAAAAAUUGAUUCUUGUAAUACGCAGAUUCCCAGCCUGAAUAGAGGUUUUACCUUAAUUAUUUAGCUAAAUAAGGAAACAUGAAGGAUUAAGUUUUGUAAGUAAAUGACACUUUGUAAAUGCA